GAUUAGAGAUCUUGGAUCUAGGUAAGCAUCCUAUGAUUUCGUCAUGCUUCUAUAUAGAGUCCUUUAGUUGGAGUUUGCUAGACUUGAAAGUUUGAAAUGCACAUUUAACUUGCUUAAAGUUGUUAUCUUACAUGGACAUAAUCUUUUACCAUUUCAUACCUUCAUCAUCUCCAAUUGUUGACUUCGACUCCUUUCUUCAUUCUCUCUUGGUUUCACAGGACGGAUCUACAAAUUAUAUAUGUGGCUACUGGCAAUAUUUUGCACAAAUUCUAUCAAUAUCCACGCUGGUAUCAAUGGCCUUGAAGUUGGGCAGAAAUCUCAAUUCUAUCAAUAUCCACGCUGGUAUCAAUGGCCUUGAAGUUGGGCAGACGGUCGUUAUUGCAGCAGCUGUAAGCUAGAACUGUCC
rnacentral:lncRNA from 1 species